rnacentral:rRNA from 1 species
GACGAACGCUGGCGGCGUGCUUAACACAUGCAAGUCGAACGGAAAGGCCCUGCUUUUGUGGGGUGCUCGAGUGGCGAACGGGUGAGUAACACGUGAGUAACCUGCCCUUGACUUUGGGAUAACUUCAGGAAACUGGGGCUAAUACCGGAUAGGAGCUCCUGCUGCAUGGUGGGGGUUGGAAAGUUUCGGCGGUUGGGGAUGGGCUCGCGGCUUAUCAGCUUGUUGGUGGGGUAGUGGCUUACCAAGGCUUUGACGGGUAGCCGGCCUGAGAGGGUGACCGGCCACAUUGGGACUGAGAUACGGCCCAGACUCCUACGGGAGGCAGCAGUGGGGAAUAUUGCACAAUGGGCGGAAGACUGAUGCAGCAACGCCGCGUGCGGGAUGACGGCCUUCGGGUUGUAAACCGCUUUCGCCUGUGACGAAGCGUGAGUGACGGUAAUGGGUAAAGAAGCACCGGCUAACUACG